ACUCCUACGGGAGGCAGCAGUGGGGAAUCUUGCGCAAUGGGCGGAAGCCUGACGCAGCAACGCCGCGUGUGGGAAGACGGCCUUCGGGUUGUAAACCACUUUCAGGGGGGACGAAGCUUCCGAGGUUAAUAGCCUACGGGGUGACGGUACCCCCAGAAGAAGCCCCGGCUAACUACGUGCCAGCAGCCGCGGUAAUACGUAGGGGGCGAGCGUUGUCCGGAAUCAUUGGGCGUAAAGCGCGUGUAGGCGGCUCGGUCAGUCUGGUGUGAAACCUUGGGGCUCAACCCCAAGCCUGCACUGGAUACUGCCGAGCUUGAGUCCGGGAGGGGAGAGCGGAAUUCCUAGUGUAGCGGUGAAAUGCGCAGAUAUUAGGAAGAACACCGGUGGCGAAGGCGGCUCUCUGGAACGGUACUGACGCUGAGACGCGAAGCGUGGGGAGCGAACAGGAUUAGAUACCCUGGUAGGCGUAG
rnacentral:rRNA from 1 species